UAUUGGGCAACUCCAUGUGGGUGAUCUAUAGGCAACAGUUUGUGAGGCUGCUUGCUUUAAUGAGGGAGGAGUGAUCUACAAGCAUGGCUGGAUGCUUUGCUGUGAGCUCUUGCAGAAGGUCCCAGAUCUCCAGUACAAGUGACCUGCAUCCUAAAGCUUUCUUUGGAGCAGUGGCAAACUGAAGGAACUUCCCACACAACCUAAGCAGCUGCCCUGCUGAAACUUGAGAGCAGCACUACAACUUUUUUCAAGGAUGAAUUUCUGAAGAUCAAGAGGAUCUGAGGACAGUAUGGUAAUAACAGUGUGGAGUGAGGUGGCUGGACUGAGGACAUCCUCAGGGAGUCUGGAGAGAGGCAGUCAGAGGGGCAACACCUGGAUCCAAUGAAUCAAUAUCUGAGACCACACCAGUAGAGCUAGUACAAAUAAGCACCAACAUAGAUAAGAGCAGAUUAGCAAAAGUACAAUGAACUGGGAUAGACAGGGUUAACUAAGAAGGCAAAUCUUACUAGAGCUCACAUGGAGAAAGUGUAUCAUUAAUCUCUUUAUAAGUGGGUUAAGUUAGGGGAGUGCUUCCAGGUAAAAUGAAUGUUCUAGGCCAAGGUCAAAGGCAAUGUGCUUCUCCAGACUGUAUAUCCUUAGCGGAACUUUACUUUGUCUAGA